rnacentral:rRNA from 1 species
UACAUAGGUCGCAAACGUUAUCCGGAAUUAUUGGGCGUAAAGGGUGCGUAGAUGGUUCAGUAAGUUACUGGUGGGAAAUCGAGGCCCAACCUCGUGGAAGUUAGUAAUACUAUUGAACUUGAGUGCAGGAGAGGUUAACGGAACUUCAUGUGGAGCGGUAAAAUGCGUAGAUAUAUGAAAGAAUAUCAAUAUAGCGAAGGCAGUUAACUAUUCUGCUACUGACAUUGAGGCAUGAAAGCGUGGGGAGCAAAACGG